UCAAUAAGCGGAGGAAAAGAAACCAACAGGGAUUGCCUCAGUAACGGCGAGUGAAGCGGCAAUAGCUCAAAUUUGAAAUCUGGCUCUUUCAGAGUCCGAAUUGUAAUUUGUAGAGGAUGCUUCGGCUUCGGCCCUGGUCUAAGUUCCUUGGAACAGGACGUCACAGAGGGUGAGAAUCCCGUUUGUGGCCGGCGGCCCCCGCCAUGUGAAGCUCCUUCGACGAGUCGAGUUGUUUGGGAAUGCAGCUCUAAAUGGGAGGUAAAUUUCUUCUAAAGCUAAAUACCGGCCAGAGACCGAUAGCGCACAAGUAGAGUGAUCGAAAGAUGAAAAGCACUUUGGAAAGAGAGUUAAAAAGUACGUGAAAUUGUUGAAAGGGAAGCGCUUGCGACCAGACUUGUCCGCGGAUGCUCAGCCGGUCCUUCGGCCGGUGUACUCUUCCGCGGUCAGGCCAGCAUCAGUUCGGGUGGUCGGAUAAAGGCCUUGGGAAUGUGGCUCUCUUCGGGGAGUGUUAUAGCCCUUGGUGCAAUACGGCCUGCCUGGACUGAGGCCCGCGCUUCGGCUAGGAUGCUGGCGUAAUGGUCGUAAGCGGCCCGUCUUGAAACACGGACCAAGGAGUCUAACAUCUAUGCGAGUGUUUGGGUGUCAAACCCGUGCGCGUAAUGAAAGUGAACGGAGGUGGGAACCUUUGGGUGCACCAUCGACCGAUCCUGAUGUCUUCGGAUGGAUUUGAGUAAGAGCAUAGCUGUUGGGACCCGAAAGAUGGUGAACUAUGCCUGAAUAGGGUGAAGCCAGAGGAAACUCUGGUGGAGGCUCGCAGCGGUUCUGACGUGCAAAUCGAUCGUCAAAUUUAGGUAUAGGGGCGAAAGACUAAUCG
rnacentral:rRNA from 1 species